rnacentral:ncRNA from 1 species
CGAGGAAUGCCUAGUAAGCGCGAGUCAUCAGCUCGCGUUGACUACGUCCCUGCCCUUUGUACACACCGCCCGUCGCUCCUACCGAUUGAAUGGUCCGGUGAGUGGUUCGGAUCGCGGCGACGGGGGCGGUUCGCCGCCCCCGACGUCGCGAGAAGUCCAUUGAACCUUAUCAUUUAGAGGAAGGAGAAGUCGUAACAAGGUUUCCGUAGGUGAACCUGCGGAAGGAUCAUUG